GACAGUGGUAGUUCAGUGGUUAAGGUGUUGGACUACUGCUCAGAAGUUCGUGAGUUCAGACCCCAGCACUGCCA